CAGGUUUACCUGUGUGACUGCGUACCUUUUGUAUAAUGGGUCAGCGACUUAUAUUCUGUAGCAAGGUUAACCGUAUAGGGGAGCCGUAGGGAAACCGAGUCUUAACCGGGCGUUAAGUUGCAGGGUAUAGACCCGAAACCCGGUGAUCUAGCCAUGGGCAGGUUGAAGGUUGGGUAACACUAACUGGAGGACCGAACCGACUAAUGUUGAAAAAUUAGCGGAUGACCUGUGGCUGGGGGUGAAAGGCCAAUCAAACCGGGAGAUAGCUGGUUCUCCCCGAAAGCUAUUUAGGUAGCGCCUCGUGAAUUCAUCUCCGGGGGUAGAGCACUGUUUCGGCUAGGGGGCCAUCCCGGCUUACCAACCCGAUGCAAACUGCGAAUACCGGAGAAUGUUAUCACGGGAGACACACGGCGGGUGCUAACGUCCGUCGUGAAGAGGGAAACAACCCAGACCGC
rnacentral:rRNA from 1 species